rnacentral:rRNA from 1 species
GACGAACGCUGGCGGCGUGCCUAAUACAUGCAAGUAGAACGCAGUUGCGAACGGGUGAGUAACGCGUAGGUACCUGCCUCAUAGCGGGGGAUACCUAUUGGAAACGAUAGCUCAUACCGCAUCCUGUGAGAUGGACAUGCGGUGGGUUAGCUAGUUGGUGAGGUAAAGGCUCACCAAGGCGACGAUUCAGAGCCGGCCUGAGAGGGUGAUCGGGCAAACUGGGAAGGAGAAAAGGCCCAGGAUCCUACGGGAGGCAAGAGUAGUGAAUCUUCGGCAAUGGACGGAAGUCUGAACGAGCAAAGCCGCGGGAGUGAAGAAGGGUUUCUGAUUGUAAAGCUCUGUUGUUAGAGAAGCGUUAACUAAACAGAAAGGGACGGCUAACUACGUGCCAGCAGCCGCGGUAAUUC